rnacentral:tRNA from 1 species
CCAUCGGUGGUUCAGUGGUAGAAUGCUCGCCUGGCCCGGAUUGAUUCCCGGCCGAUGCA